CUGGCAGAGCCCGGGCGCUGCACUCGGGGACACACAGCCUGCACGCUGCAGCCAGGAGCCCCAGGGGAAGGAGGAGUUCCUUCCGCUGCAGGAACUGGGAAUUGAAGCAGCCUCCCACAUCGUCCCUCUGGAUCCACUGCUUAAAUACAGGCAAGGACAGGGCUCUGUCUCCCCAGCUGUGGUCACCAGCCCCGACCUGGGACAG